UAUUUUCUUUGUUUUUAGAAAUAAAUCUUUUUCAAGAAUAGUCAAGAUUGACUUUUUAUUUUGCAACUGUUUAAAUAUUGUUGCAUUAACAAUAAUUCGUAGCCGUUUUAUUUUUGAAAUAAAAUUGAAAUAAUAUAUAAUAUUGUUCAAGAAAAAAGUCCUUUUUUUCUCCAAAAUAUGGUACUACAGAAGAUUUUUUCACACUAAACACACUGCUGUUGCCAGAAUUUGUAUCACAUUAGGAUAUUAAGUAAAUUAGACGAAAUAUAUAAAAUAUAAUUUUAAUUAUUUACAACAUUUUUUUACAGUAAAAAACUUGUUUUCAAAUGCCAAGUCAACAGCAUCUAAAAAUAUUUAAAAGCUUUCAAGUAAAUUUUACAAAAACAUCUCCAAACCUGCACUUUAACAGAGUGUGUUACUGUGCGCUGAAGAAUCUUAUUGUGCUUCAUUAAUCGAUAAAGGAGACCAUGCCAAGAAAGACGAUUUGUUUGUGAAGCGACUUCUAAUAUCAUUUAAAGCAACAUUAAAUCCUUUCUGGGGGAGUCUCGAUUGGAAUUGACGCAAGGUAAAAUUAAGAUUGUUUUGAAAGAGAAGCAAGAUCGCUUUAUUCUCCUUCCGUAUUUCUGGCAGGUUCUUCACAUUUAGGCCAAUCAAAUUAGUUUAAAACACUUCGGAAAAAUUCCUCUUGCAGUGGACUUAAAAUGUUCUUUGGCGUGUAAAUAAUUAUGAUAGAAAUGUUUACCUUAUUAUAGUUUCUUCUAGACAACAUCGUUUAUUUAACAAUUAAAACAAAAAAAUCGAUUUUUUCGAAUAACUUUUAAAAUGUAAACUUUUAUAAAAAAAGUAACUGCGCCUUUCUUGUUGAACAGACUAUAGCUUGUGAUAACACCAAAACAAGAUCGAUACAAUUAUAUGUGUUUUGUAUAAUUAGACUAUAGACAAUAAUGAUACUAAUGGAUUAGGCAGUACGUAUGUGUAGUAUAUAGCAAAUAGCAUUUAACAUAUGAUUCAACAUUACAUCUUUUAAAUUAAAAAAAUGUUAAUUAAAAAUUAACACUAAAUUUUUUAAAGAAAAAAUUAUGAAUAUUAUCGAAAUUAUGAAUAUUACUGAUAUAUAGACUUAAAAGUCUUCUUCCCACUUACAAAUUAUUAUACCUUGGACAUUUUAGAAUUUUCGUUGGACGUAUUAGAAUUUUCUUUUCAAAAUGUUAGAAAAAAUUUCUUAAUAAGAAAUCUCGCGCCAGUUUAGAAACACUGUAAAUACAUUAUCAUUUUAUUAUAUAUACAUAUUAAAUAUAUACACACAAAAUUUUUUCCGCAAUCAAUUAUUUACAGUUUUUUCUUUUUUUUGGGAAAGGGAGAAUUUUAAAGAUGCUUUUGAACAUCAAUAUUUAGCUAAUAUCUGCAUUUCAAGACUGACAAAAUUGUUGACGCGCAGUUUGUACGAACUAAGAAUAUUAAAUUAAUAGAAAAAUUAUAUUUAGCGCAAGAUUCGCUGUAGAUCGAAAUAGGCGAUUUUAACUUUUUCUUUAUGUUCAAAACAAUUUUAACUUUAUGUUCCACAUUUAUAUAUAAUUUUUAAUUUGUAUGAAACUUCGUAAAAUUCGUAAAAAAUUUAGAACGUUGAGACUAUUAUUUAAGAUUCAUCGUAUGUGUGUAUACGUGUGUGCGUGCAUAUGUGCGCCUGUGCGUUAAAAUUCAAACAACUGUAAGUGAUGAAAAAAUUUAGAGAAGCGUUAGGUAAAUUUGAAAUCGGAUUCCUGGUUCCACAGGCUCUCUCAUCGCUACAGCAUAUUGUUUCAACUGCUCUUAUUUUGUUCACUUUUAAGUCGCUAAUUGAUUAAAACCUUACGACUCUGUUAUUAACCGACAAGAGUCUUCCGAAUCCAAAUAUCUUACACAGUCAUAAUUUAAGAAAAAUAAGUUAUACGAUUAUAAACUAAAAUUUAUUUCAAAGCUUUGAAUUAUAUUUUUAAAAUGCUAUUGAUUUUUUUUUUAAAUCAGGUUUUCUGUCAUAAGAAAUCUUCAGAGUAUGUACUACUGGGCACUACAGGCAUUUAGUGUUAAAUAAAAAAAAAAAA